rnacentral:misc_RNA from 1 species
UGGCCGAAAUUGGUUGGUGGGGAGGGAUCAAUUGCUUGUUUGUUAAAAGUAUUACCGCGUUCCUAGCAAGCACUCGAGGUGGCAAAUCAUUCUUGGCUUUGUUCUGUCGUUUUGAAGAAAAAGAAAAAUGAAUGUGGAAUGAAAUGUGACUUGCAGGAUCUCAUUGCUUCAAAGGAUUUCCUCCAAAGUCCAAGAGAUUUCUUCAUUUCAUUCUCUUUUUUUGCCUUUUUGUACAGAGUUUAUGAUGACUUAAGGAGUGGGAACUUUGACCUCUUGUAUGAUAUAGCAGAGUGAAACUAAAUGAAUCAGAAAGUUUAGGA